rnacentral:tRNA from 1 species
UCCCUAGCAGUCCAGUGGUUUAGAACACCGUGUUUCCAAUGCAGGGGGCCCAGGUUCAAUCCCUGGCCGGGGAA